GUAGUGAUAUGCUUGUUUCAAAGAUUAAGCCAUGCAUGUCUAAGUAUAAGCGAACUUAUACAGUGAAACUGCGGAUGGCUCAUUAAAACAGUUUGAAUUUAUUUGAUGAAUGUAUGAGAAUACUACUUGGAUAACCGUAGUAAUUCUAGAGCUAAUACAUGCAACGACGCCCGACCGUUUCACUACGGAAGGGCUGUAUUUAUUGGAUACCAAAACCAUCCUUCCCUCGGGAAGUUUUGUUUGAUGAUUCACAAUAACUGAUCGGAUCGCCACUGUGGUGGCGACAGGUCAUUCAACAUUCUGCCCUAUCAGCUUUCGAUGGUUGUGUAGUGGACAACCAUGGCCAUAACGGGUAACGGAGAAUCAGGGUUCGAUUCCGGAGAAGGAGCUUGAGAAUUGGCUACUACAUCUAAGGAAGGCAGCAGGCGCGCAAAUUACCCAAUCCCGAUUCGGGGAGGUAGUGACAAAAAAUAACAAUACCGGGCCUUUUUGGGCUUGGUAAUUGGAAUGAGGGAGAGUUAAACGGACCAUCGAGUAUCCAUUGGAGGGCAAGUCUGGUGCCAGCAGCUGCGGUAAUACCAGCUCCAAUAGCGUAUAUUAAAGUUGUUGCAGUUAAAAAGCUCGUAGUUGGACUUGUGUGCGCUGUCCGCGGGUGGCCUGCGCCCAAAAGGGCGUUUCGGUUCGGCCCCGGUGGCGCCUUGAAAUCUGCAGCUGGGGGGACGUUGGCCUUAACUGGUCGGCGACCGCACGCCGGCUGCUCGGUUACUGUGAGAAAAUUAGAGUGUUCAAGGCAGGCAUUGGGUGCAAUUGAAUACAUUAGCAUGGAAUAAUAAAAUAUGGCUCCUGCCGUAUUUUGUUGGUUUUGACUGGUGGGAGUAAUGAUUGAUAGGGACGGUUGGGGGUGCUAGUAUUGAGCGGCCAGAGGUGAAAUUCAUGGAUUCGCUCAAGACUAACUUAUGCGAAAGCAUUCACCAAGGACGUCCUCUUUAAUCAAGAACGAAAGUUGGGGGAUCGAAGACGAUCAGAUACCGUCGUAGUCUCAACCAUAAACUAUGUCGACUUGGGAUCGGCGGUAGUUUUUUCAUUAAGACACUGUUGGACCACGGGAGAAAUCAAAGUGUCUGGACUCUGGGGGAAGUAUGGUCGCAAGGCUGAAACUUGAAGGAAUUGACGGAAGGGCACCACCAGGAGUGGAGCCUGCGGCUUAAUUUGACCCAACACGGGGAAACUUACCAGGUCCAGAGAUAUAGAGGAUUGACAGAUUGAAGCUCUUUCUUGAUCACUUCGGUGGUGGUGCAUGGCCGUUCUUAGUUGGUGGAGUGAUUUGUCUGGUUAAUUCCGUUAACGAACGAGACCUCAGCCUGCUAGUGUAGUCGGCUGGAUUACAAAAAG
rnacentral:rRNA from 1 species